CUAUGAGACCUGCGCUCUAGCCAACUGAGCCAAGGAAGC
rnacentral:tRNA from 1 species